rnacentral:rRNA from 1 species
GGCGCUUCACACCCACCUAGAGGAGCCUGUUCUAGAACCGAUGACCCCCGUUCAACCUCACCUUCUCUUGUUCUCCCCGCCUAUAUACCGCCGUCGUCAGCCCACCCUGUAAAGGCCCAAUAGUGAGCGAAACUGGCAAAGCCCAAAACGUCAGGUCGAGGUGUAGCUUAUGAGAAGGGAAGAAAUGGGCUACAAUUGCUAAAACAGCUAAAACGAAUUGUAACGCUGAAAAUACAUGCAUGAAGGAGGAUUUAGAAGUAAGGGGCAAAUAGAGUGUCCCCCUGAAAUGGUUCUGAAGCGUGUACACACCGCCCGUCACUCUCCCCAAGUUAGAACCAUUAAUAGUAACUAAACCCUUAACCCUACAAAGGGGAGACAAGUCGUAACAUGGUAAGUGUACCGGAAGGUGCACUUGGAAGAAAC